GUGAUAAACUGGAGGAAGGUGGGGAUGACGUCAAGUCAUCAUGGCCCUUACGGCCAGGGCUACACACGUGCUACAAUGGCAUAUACAAAGAGAAGCGACCUCGCGAGAGCAAGCGGACCUCAUAAAGUAUGUCGUAGUCCGGAUUGGAGUCUGCAACUCGACUCCAUGAAGUCGGAAUCGCUAGUAAUCGUAGAUCAGAAUGCUACGGUGAAUACGUUCCCGGGCCUUGUACACAC
rnacentral:rRNA from 1 species